AACGAACGCUGGCGGCAUGCCUAACACAUGCAAGUCGAACGAACCCUUCGGGGUUAGUGGCGCACGGGUGCGUAACGCGUGGGGAUCUGCCCAAAGGUUCGGAAUAACUCAGAGAAAUUUGAGCUAAUACCGGAUAAUGUCUUCGGACCAAAGAUUUAUUGCCUUUGGAUGAACCCGCGUAGGAUUAGCUUGUUGGUGGGGUAAAGGCCUACCAAGGCGACGAUCCUUAGCUGGUCUGAGAGGAUGAUCAGCCACACUGGGACUGAGACACGGCCCAGACUCCUACGGGAGGCAGCAGUGGGGAAUUUUGGACAAUGGGCGAAAGCCUGAUCCAGCCAUGCCGCGUGAGUGAAGAAGGCCUGGUUGUAAGCUCUUCAGGUGGAAGAAAGACGGAUGGGUUAAUACCCUGUCCGGAUGACGGUACCACCAGAAGAAGCACCGGCUAACUACGUGCCAGCAGCCGCGGU
rnacentral:rRNA from 1 species